GACGAACGCUGGCGGCGUGCUUAACACAUGCAAGUCGAGCGGAGCGGCGAACGGGUGAGUAACGCGUGAGUAACUGCCCCCCUCUCUGGGAUAACAGUUGGAAACGGCUGCUAAUACCGGAUAGUGGGGGAUGACUCGCGUCCUAUCAGCUUUUUGGUGGGGUAGUGGCCUACCAAGGCGACGACGGGUAGCCGGCCUGCGCGGGCGACCGGCCACAAUGGGCUGAGAUACGGCCCAAACGCCUACGGGAGGCAGCAGUGGGGAAUAUUGCACAAGGGGGGAAACGCGUAUGCAGCAACGCCGCGUGCGGGAGGACGGCUUUCGGGGUGUAAACCGCGUUCAGCCAGGACGCGGUAGUGGCAGAAGAAGCACCGGCUAACUACGUGCCAGCAGCCGCGGUAAUUC
rnacentral:rRNA from 1 species